GGCCACACCUGGGCCCACAAAUUAGCCAGAAGCUGCACAAGUCCAGCUCCUGUGACUGCAGCUUGAAGGCUGACGUACCUCCACUCAGCUCCGUGUGAAACGAUGAACACACAGUGGAAAAGGAGCUUUUUUAAAGUGCUGACACCGCAGGAACAUUGACAGAGUGAAGCAGCGAGAAAUUCGACAAGUGAUGUGAGGACAGCAGCUGAGUGACAGGCUCACGGGUGUCAAACAUAAAGUUUGUGGGCCAGAAUCAGCCCAGCAAGGACUCCAGUGUGGCCCAGUGGAUGACACUGGAAAAUGUGAAGAAGGCUUAAACUUUGGACUUUUAGUUGUUACUGUUUUACAAGUCCUUCCCCAUGGCCAUCUACACCAAAGUAAAACAAUGAAAUGACAAAAAACUUCUUUUUAUUCUACUAUACAAAUGUCUGCUUUUAUCAGUAAAAUAAAUAAAAAUAAAUAAAUAAAAAAACCUUUAAAUUAACAAAACCUUCCGGCCCACUAAAGAUAAAACGUGGGUUACAUACAGCUCACAGUGUGAAAGCUCACCGUGUCCAAUUUAUCGACACCAUUUAUCAAAAACCUGCCACUUCUCCAGAACAAUUCCAAAUGUUUUAACCUGAUCAGCGUAAACUCCAAUUGUAUAUAUCGGUAUUAAAACCUCAGAACGGGAGGUGCUGAGUCUGAUUCCAGCUUCAGGUGUAACCUUCACUGGGCUGCGAGCUGGAGAUCAACAGCAAAGCAAAGACACCUCCGAGCCCUCAGGUCUCUGUACAAGGACAACAUGCUGGAUGUAAACUGAAGAGAUUCCAAUUAUGUAAAAUCAAUUUGACCAUUUUUACAGUUUUCUAUGUCAUAAAAUUACAUGUAAUUAAAUUACUUUACAUGUUGGA